GGUUAUAUUGAAAACAGGACUAGCCAUGUUGUCGGCAUUUCUCCGGUUGUCUGAAUGGCAGCUUCAGAGACUCACAACCGAUUCUUAUUCGGUUCAGACCAUAUUGGAAGAAAAUUCCUCCUU